rnacentral:rRNA from 1 species
UACGGAGGGUGCAAGCGUUAUCCGGAAUCACUGGGUUUAAAGGGUGCGUAGGCGGCUUAGUAAGUCAGUGGUGAAAGGCUGUGGCUUAACCAUGGGAUUGCCAUUGAUACUGCUGAGCUUGAAUCAGGUUGAGGUUGGCGGAAUGUGACAUGUAGCGGUGAAAUGCUUAGAUAUGUCAUGGAACACCGAUUGCGAAGGCAGCUGACUGGACCUGCAUUGACGCUGAGGCACGACAGCGUGGGGAGCGAACAGG